rnacentral:lncRNA from 1 species
UGGAUAAAGAGCAUACCCUAGAUAAGGACAGAAGAGGUGAGGGCACGGACUUUGUCAAGGUGGUAUACUCAACCCUGGGCUACUAGUCUGGCUAAGUCCUUCGACUGUUGGGGACAAUCAUUCACAAAGUGUUGAGUACUUCCGCACUUAUAGCAGGUGUUGUUCAAACACCGACAAGGUUGAUCACCAUGCACGUGACCAUAAUGAUGACAUGGUUAGAAAGGUCGGGCAGAUUGUCUAAUAGGUGGAGGCAGAGUAGGGGGAGGGGCAACUCGGGGUCG